rfam:Intoshia linei isolate Intl2013 Contig_13545, whole genome shotgun sequence.
GCCUCCUUAGCUCAGUGGUUAGAGCGUUCGGCUGUUAACCGAAAGGUCGUCGGUUCGACACCGAUAGGGGGCG